rnacentral:rRNA from 1 species
AUGUUGCAGGAGGAUGGGGGUAUUGAUGAAGAUGUGAACCAUCGAAUCAAAGCCGGAUGGAUGAAGUGGCGCCAAGCUUCUGGCAUUCUCCGUGACAAGAGAGUGCCACAAAAGCUAAAAGGCAAGUUCUACAGGACGGCGGUUCGACCCGCAAUGUUGUAUGGCGCGGAGUGUUGGCCGACUAAAAGGCGACAUGUUCAACAGUUAGGUGUGGCGGAGAUGCGUAUGUUGAGAUGGAUGUGUGGCCACACGAGGAAGGAUCGAGUCCGGAAUGAUGAUAUACGAGAUAGAGUUGGGGUAGCACCAAUUGAGGAGAAGCUUGUCCAACAUCGUUUGAGAUGGUUUGGGCAUAUCCAGCGCAGGCCUCCAGAAGCUCCAGUGCAUAGCGGACGGCUAAAGCGUGCGGAGAAUGUCAAGAGAGGGCGGGGUCGACCGAUUUUGACAUGGGAGGAGUCCGUUAAGAGAGACCUGAAGGAUUGGAGUAUCGACAAAGAGCUAGCUAUGGACAGGGGUGCGUGGAAGCUUGCUAUCCAUGUGCCAGAGCCAUGA